UAUGUGAUCGUCUCUCGCAUAUCAAUAAGCGGAGGAAAAGAAACUAACAAGGAUUCCCCUAGUAACGGCGAGUGAAGCGGGAAGAGCUCAAAUUUGAAAUCUUAAAGGGUUUCCCUUUACGAAUUGUAGUUUAAAGAAGUGUUUUCUGUUGAGGUUUUGGUAAAAGUUCUUUGGAAUAGGACAUCAUAGAGGGUGAGAAUCCCGUAUUUGACCUUUACUUUCAACUUUGUGAUACACUUUCAAAGAGUCGGAUUGUUUGGGAAUGCAGUCCAAAAUGGGUGGUAAGUUUCAUCUAAAGCUAAAUAUUGGCGAGAGACCGAUAGCGAACAAGUACCGUGAGGGAAAGAUGAAAAGAACUUGAAAAGAGAGUUAAACAGUACGUGAAAUUGUCAAAGGGAAGCGUUUGACACCAGUGUUGUUUUUCUGAAAAUCAAUUAAAGAACUGUUUAUGCUAAGCUGUUUAGACUUUAUCAGCUAACUGUUUAGUUUUGAGCUUUUCUUUAAUGCACUUUUCAGUUAACAAGUCAACAUCAAUUUCUUUUGCUGUAAAAAAGCUUGAGGAAGGUGGCUUGAGAUUCGUCUUAAGUGUUUAUAGCCUCUUGCCUAUGCAGUCGGAGAGAUUGAGGUCUGCAGCGUAGAUCCUUCGGGGCUAAAUGCAUUUGUGCUAAGUUAUAGCAUUUUAUAGACAACUUGUUGACUAUGAUUUGUCUUGUAGCUUACUCGCUUAUGUUAUUUUACCUACGCUUAGGAUGUUGAAGACUCUACAGAGAUA
rnacentral:rRNA from 1 species